rnacentral:rRNA from 1 species
CAGGCCUAACACAUGCAAGUCGAGCGGAAACGACAACAAAGAUUCUUCGGAUGAUUUGUUGGGCGUCGAGCGGCGGACGGGUGAGUAAUGCUUAGGAAUUUGCCCAGUCGAGGGGGACAACAGUUGGAAACGACUGCUAAUACCGCAUACGCCCUACGGGGGAAAGAGGGGGAUGCUUCGGCACCUUUCGCGAUUGGAUAAGCCUAAGUGAGAUUAGCUAGAUGGUGAGGUAAUGGCUCACCAUGGCGACGAUCUCUAGCUGGUUUGAGAGGAUGAUCAGCCACACUGGAACUGAGACACGGUCCAGACUCCUACGGGAGGCAGCAGUGGGGAAUAUUGCACAAUGGGCGCAAGCCUGAUGCAGCCAUGCCGCGUGUAUGAAGAAGGCCUUCGGGUUGUAAAGUACUUUCAGCGAGGAGGAAAGGUUAACGGUUAAUACCCGUUAGCUGUGACGUUACUCGCAGAAGAAGCACCGGCUAACUCCGUGCCAGCAGCCGCGGUAAUACGGAGGGUGCGAGCGUUAAUCGGAAUUACUGGGCGUAAAGCGCAUGCAGGCGGUCUGUUAAGCGAGAUGUGAAAGCCCCGGGCUUAACCUGGGAACUGCAUUUCGAACUGGCAGACUAGAGUCUUGUAGAGGGAGGUAGAAUUUCAGGUGUAGCGGUGAAAUGCGUAGAGAUCUGAAGGAAUACCAGUGGCGAAGGCGGCCUCCUGGACAAAGACUGACGCUCA